AUUGAACGCUGGCGGCAGGCCUAACACAUGCAAGUCGAACGAGUGGCGGACGGGUGAGUAAUGUCUGGGAAACUGCCCGAUGGAGGGGGAUAACUACUGGAAACAGUAGCUAAUACCGCAUACCAUCGGAUGUGCCCAGAUGGGAUUAGCUAGUAGGUGGGGUAACGGCUGACCUAGGCGACGAUCCCUAGCUGGUCUGAGAGGAUGACCAGCCACACUGGAACUGAGACACGGGCCAGACGCCUACGUGAGGCAGCAGUGGGGAAUAUUGCACAAUGGGCGCAAGCCUGAGGCAGCAACGCCGGGGGCGGGAUGACGGUCUUCGGGUGGUAAACCGCUUUAAGCCAGUACGCGGUAGUGGCAGAAGAAGCACCGGCUAACUACGUGCCAGCAGCCGCGGUAAUUC
rnacentral:rRNA from 1 species